rnacentral:rRNA from 1 species
CAUCCCCUGUUUUUUCAAAAACAUGUCUACAUAGAGGGUAUAUGUAGUACUGGCCUGCUCACUGAGAUAAAGGGAACUUUAAGAGCCGCGGUAUUUUGACCGUGCAAAGGUAGCAUAAUCAUUAGUUUUUUAAUUGGAAACUUGUAUGAAUGGUUAGACAAAAGAGGUACUGUCUCUGUCUUAGAAUUUGAAUUUAACUUUUAAGUGAAAAGGCUUAGAUUUUUCAAGGGGACGAUAAGACCCUAUAAAGCUUUAUAAAUAACUAGAUAUUUUUUAGACUAUAAGAUAAAAAAGAAUUCUCGGAGGUUUAUUAUGUUGGGGCGACACAGAUAUAAGUAAAAGCAACUAUCAGAAAAUAAAACAAUAAUUUUUGUAAUUCAUGAUCCUAAGUAAAGAUUACAAGACUAAGUUACUUUAGGGAUAACAGCGUUAUUCUUUUUGAGAGUUCAUAUCGAAAAAAGAGUUUGCGACCUCGAUGUUGAAUCAAAAAAUCUUUAUGAUGCAGCAAUUAUAAAAGACAGGUCUGUUCGACCUUUAAAAUUUUACGUGAUCUG